CUAAUUAGAAACUUGAAGAAAUAAGAGUGAAAGACGGUGAUCAGUAUCUAAAUAUCAUUCAAAACGAAAGAAAACUUCAUUAAUUAAAUCUAAAGUUUAAUGCUGUCUAUUUUGCAGAUGUGUAUAUUUUGAAUAAAGACCAAACACUGGAACAAUCUCUUAAUAUACCUGUCUUAUCCAGGAUCUUCUGAACAAUGUGUUCAAGAUCUGUAAAGCUCAGUCUGACCUAAUGCCUGAUUUGAAAACUGUACUUUCCUUCUUAUCAGCAUAAGACAUUGGUAACUAUUUAGCCAUUUUUAUUACAUCCCAAAUUCCAUUCCAUUACCUCCAAAUCAACUCAACACAAAGGCUGUGGAAUCAUAUGAUAGCCCUAGAAAUUGUUUCAUGUAAGAACUGAAAACAAUUAUGCAUUUCAGCCUUUUUAAGAAUCUCUAAAUUUCAUCAUUUAUAUUGAUUUGCAUUUUAAUAUUUUAAAUGCAUGCUUUUUUUUAUUGAAAUAUGUAAUUUUUAAAAUGGAUAUCUUUACUUAUA